AGUUCCUCAUUAUGAAAAUUCAGCAUCUUAAUUUUCUUCAAAUGAUGUCACAAAUUUUCGGAAGAGAAUUAUUGUGUCUUCGAUAUAAUGAAGAGAAGGCUGCCAGUGUAGAUCAAAAACAAUGGAUGAGGGAGAAGAAAAAUUGCUCGAAACUUCACGAAAUAUCCUAAUUCAUAUGUAGGAAUUCAACAUAUAGAUUAAUACUACAGGAAAAAAAACUAUUAAUAUUAUAUAGGAAAACAUUUAAAUACAAUAUUUAAGAAGCAAAUAUUUUUAUUGAAAAUAUUAACUAAGUGGUAACUUCUUAAAAAUUGAUAAAAAAACUUCGUGCUAUCUGUGACUGGUAUCUAUAAUAAUAUAUAUAUAAUAAUAAAAGCAAGUGUAAUGUGUC